rnacentral:lncRNA from 1 species
CCUGGGUAGAAGAAAGGAGAAGGGUUUGGGUUUUCCCUCCACUUCUAGGGGUCAAGGUGAGGUAGGUGGGCAGUGGCUGGAUGUGGCCCCUCACCUGUGCUUCGUUAAAGCCUGAGCAGGGCAUAGAGUGGCUGCAGCUGCUUUCCUCCUCUGCCUGCGUAUGGGAUGAGAAAUGAAAACCAGUACUUCUGUUUCUGGCUGCUUGACUCCCCAUUUCCAUAGCUUUGGCUUGUAGCAGGCUUGUGGUUGCCACGAUCAUGAAGACUUGCUGACGAGAGGGCGAAAAUGAAGGGAAGCCAUGCCAGCCUAGAGGGAACUAGUUCCUUAUCAAACAUCUCACAACAUCUCCUUACUUUUGGAUUUAAUAUACUUUGCAUUUUUGGAAAGAGCUCAUCAACAAAUUCAGCUGUUUUGCUGGUUGGGUCCAUCCCGCACAGGCAGAAAGCCCUUGGUUGACGUCCCUUUGCCACCUGCAUGCUCUGGGAUAGAGGAUGAUCCCUACACUGGGUUAUUAUACAACAUCAACUGCUGCAAAAAUGCUAAAACUAAAUCGUGGAGAAAGAGUAAGAUCCCAGUGAGCCACGUCUAGGUGAGGAUCAAUGGAACAGAUCAUUGGCAAUUUCCGACACAGCGACAUCUCACCCCGUGCUGCUGCCCAGCGCUGCACCAGCUCCAAGCUUGCUGUUUCCCUGAAAAUAUCAGUUGCAAACGGGGUCUCCUCCUCCUGAGAAAAUCAGUACUUAUCGACCAGGGACUGUUUUCAAACAGCUGUAAAAUGCAGAAUGUCCCUGUCACUCCGCAACGUCUCAGCUGAUGGUUCAUCAUUACAGCAUGUAACUACUUGGCUCCUGCAGAUGCAAAAUGUGCAACUUGAGGCAUUGAUGGCAUCUCACUAUUACAUAGAAAAAUGAAUGUCUGUCUCAAUCUAGCUUAGUUUAAAAAAAAAAAAACAACACCUCAGCAGAAGAUGGUACGGUGUAUAGAUGCAUGUAUUUGCAAGUGUUAGCUUUGAAAAAGGAAGAAAAACGUGGGGCAGUGCUGUGCACCAUGGGCCAGCAGGGAUGGAAACGGAUUAGGUUUGCGCAGUGAGCUUGUGUGGUUGGAGGGAUGCUGAGUGAAAUAAAUAGGGCUCUGCCAUGGAUGAAGGCAAUUAGGACAGCCCAACUCAUGGCCCUAGUGCUGACGGGCUCUGUCAGGCUCCAAGCUGGGGUUGCUGUUCUCUAUAGGAGGCUGGUGUACCAGCAGCAUUUGGUAACCAAGGGACAAAAUAGCAAAAGCACUCUUGCAGUUCCUGUAUUUCCUCUCCCUCUCCUUUCUCUGACACAAUUCACCUGUUGUGGGAAGGGGAUGGUGAAUUUGAAUGUUCCCAGUGAGCUUGGGUCCUUGGGUCCACUGUUACCCCAAUGCUCCACCUCCACCUAAUGCUCUCCUUCACUGUCUCCUAAGUGAAGGUGACUUAGGAGAAUGGUAACUGAAAUAACAGUUCUGCCUUAUACAGACCUGGUUUAUGUUCUCAGGGAAGGGAGCAGGAAGAGGAGUGGAUUUGAGCUAUACGAAGAUUCUGAGCAUCUGCAGCAGUGGAAUGAAGAUUCACAAUUCCAGCCAAGCAAGA